UCUACGGGGUCAGAGUGGAUAUCUUUAACCUGUCCUGACCUCUCUACAGGGUCGGAGUGGACCCAGAUCAAGACCUGCAACAAUGUGGAGAUAACUUCCUGCUCUUUCAAGGGGACGGGACCACGCCAGAAGUCAGUAAGACCAAGCAGGAGAGUGCCUGGCUCUUCAGGCUGUGGUACACCUUCGAUCACAACUACCUGAAGCCCAUGUUGACCCACAGCGGUCCUCCUCUCACCACUACCCUGCCAUCCUGCUGUGGUGCCCUGGCACGAUGCUUCACCAGCCCUCAGGCCUACGAG